ensembl:lncRNA
UUUGACCCAGCAGGAGCAGACCCUGGCUCAGUCGCAGGGUGGAUGGUUGUCCCCAGGAGGAAGGGGAGGAGUCGUUGGAGGAGGAGGACGAGGAGAGGUUGGGGGGAGCACUUGCAGGAAUAGGAGGAGGAGGAGGUGGCGGUGGCGGCGGCGGCGGCGGCGCGGGAAGUCAGGCGAAUGCGGUGGACAUAAUCCAGAUGUUGACCAAGGCGCGCACCGAGUAUGACAAGGUAGGAUAACACCAAAUAAUCUGCUCCCCAGAAAGUAUUUUGCCAUUGGUUUGUUUUGCUCUGGGAUAAUUUGACACGCGCUUUAUGGGAUUGUUUACAUCUCUCUGAUUCUCUUUUUGCCUCUUUUUUUCCCCCCUUUUUCUAUAUGUCUCUCUGCAUUCAGUCUGCGUCAGAACCAAAGGAGAUCGGAGGCAGCAGCGUUCUUCAUGGAAACCCCAACCUGAUCAAACCGAUACCUGUUAAACCGAACAAGCAGGACAGUGACACUCAGCCCAAGCCUCUCUCUCUGGCCACUCUUUUUGGCUCUCAACACUCACCCAAACCCGAAACGGUCCCUCCCAUGGCCGCCCCCGAGACGGGGGCGUCGGUGGAGCGAGUGGCGCGCCCGCCCGUGGCCCGCUCCCUGAAAUACGGCGACGCGGUGAACUCCAGCAGGGGCGCGGCCUCCGAGGGAGGCGCCGCGGUCAGCCGUCCAGACGCGGCGCCGAGGGCUACGGUUGGAGGACAAACAGUCGGGCAGCACGGCGGGAACGCCGUCGGGGGGCUCGCUGCCGAGUCCCACUGGCGCCCGUCAGCAGCAGCAGCAUCCUCCCCAGCACUGCCCGGCCAUCCAGAAACUCAUGCAGGGACAGGGAGCGGUCGCGGUGGUCGGAGGUGGUCUUCAGACCCUGUCCGAGUCCCCCGAGAACCGGCUGUGUGACAACGGGGUGCCGCUGGAGCUUCACCACCACCAUCACCACCUGUACCAUCAUCAUCACCAGCAGCACCACCUUCAUCAUCAACAGCAGCUGCAGCAGCUGCAACAACAGCAGCAGCAGCAGCAGCUCCAUGCUGACCCAAUCAUGAGACUUUUCCAAACCCAGCCCACGCCGCCCUCCACCAACCUUCCCGCUUUGCAGCAGAGCCCCCAUCGGUCCUCGCAGACCCUGCUGGUGGAUUCGGUCUCCUGUUCACACCUCCAAGCGCAACAAAGCCAGCAGCUGUUUUUCAACCUAGCUAAAUCUCAGACGGAGGCACAGGGCAACAGCCGGUCCGCUUCAACUAUACAGGGGCCAGGUUUGCUUCUAUCUCAGGUGACCGCCGACCAAGUCCUUCAAUCUUUACAAGGUCCGUCUUCCCAGAUGCCGGGUGUGGUGUCGCCCCAUGAGCUCCUGCAGAAGCUCCAUGUGGUCCAGCAGGAGCAAAGCCUGACUCCCCACGAUCCCCCGCGACUCUGUCCGGGACUGGCCCCUCGGUUCUUUGGGCCCACUCAAAGUCAGGGGCCGGUCUCUAACCAGACCACGGCCACCGCGGGGCAAAAGGCAGCGCUGCAGUUUCAGGUCAUCUCCCCCCCAGCGGAUACCAGCCACUGUGGCCCCCAACCUGCUCCUCUCCCCUAG